rnacentral:rRNA from 1 species
CCUACGGGUGGCAGCAGUCGAGAAUCAUUCACAAUGGGGGAAACCCUGAUGGUGCGACGCCGCGUGGGGGAAUGAAGGUCUUCGGAUUGUAAACCCCUGUCAUGUGGGAGCAAAUUAAAAAGAUAGUACCACAAGAGGAAGAGACGGCUAACUCUUUGACAGCAGCCGCGGUAAUACAGAGGUCACAAGCGUUGUUCGGCAUCACUGGGCGUAAAGCGUGCGGAGGCUGUGUCGUAAGUCGUGUGUGAAAGGCGCGGGCUCAACCCGCGGACGGCACAUGAUACUGCGAGACUAGAGUAAGGGAGGGGGAAGCGGAAUGCUCGGUGUAGCAGUGAAAUGCGUAGAUAUCGAGCGGAACACCCGUGGCGAAGGCGGGUUCCUGGACAUUAACUGACGCUGAGGCACGAAGGCCAGGGGAGCGAAAGGGAUUAGAUACCCUGGUAGUC